rnacentral:rRNA from 1 species
GACGAACCGUGCGAACGUUGUUCGGAUUCACUGGGCUUAAAGGGCGCGUAGGCGGCUUGCCAAGUCAGGGGUGAAAUCCUCCGGCUUAACCGGAGAAGUGCUUUUGAUACUGGCGAGCUUGAGGGAGGUAGGGGCAGGCGGAACUUCCGGUGGAGCGGUGAAAUGCGUAGAUAUCGGAAGGAACGCCGGUGGCGAAAGCGGCCUGCUGGACCUCUUCUGACGCUGAGGCGCGAAAGCCAGGGGAGCGAACGGG